rnacentral:rRNA from 1 species
CUGGUUGAUCCUGCCAGUAGUCAUAUGCUUGUCUCAAAGAUUAAGCCAUGCAUGUCUAAGUAUAAGCGACUUGUACUGUGAAACUGCGAAUGGCUCAUUAAAUCAGUUAUGGUUUAAUUUGAUGGUACCUUACUACUUGGAUAACCGUAGUAAUUCUAGAGCUAAUACAUGCAGGGAUUCCCGACUUUGGAAGGGAUGUAUUUAUUAGAUAAGAAACCUUCGCGGGCUUGCCGGUUGCGUGCCGAGUCACAAUAACUUUUCGAAUCGCACGGCUCUACGCCGGCGAUGGUUCAUUCAAAUUUCUGCCGUAUCAGCUUUCGAUGGUAGGAUCGAGGCCUACCAUGGCGUUUACGGGAAACGGAGAAUUAGGGUUCGAUUCCGGAGAGGGAGCCUGAGAAUGGCUACCACAUCCAAGGAAGGCAGCAGGCGCGUAAAUUGCCCGAAUCCUGACACAGGGAGGUAGUGAACAAGAAAUAACAAUACAGGGCCUCACUGGUCUUGUAAUUGGAAUGAGUAC